rnacentral:misc_RNA from 1 species
GAAGGCCAUGUUUGCACUCAAGACUCUAUGGAGGAUGACUUGCUUGAGCACACUGAAGAUGCUAAGUCGCCUAUGGAGAUAUGAGACACUUAUAUCGCUUUAUUCAUGAGGAGAAAGGAUGCUCGUCUACAGUUGUUGGAGAAUGAGCUCUUAUCUACCUCGUAAAAGGAGAUGACAGUAAAUGAGUAUUUUAUAAAAAUUAAGUCUCUUCGCCAUGAAAUUUCUAAAUUAGAUU